ACUCACUCACACACAAUGUGCCAUCCUGACAAGGCUUUUACUUCUGAUAAGCUCCAAUGUGUGUUUAAUGAAUACAAAGCCGCGGUCUGGGUGCCGCCUCGGCCGCGGCCGCUCUCCCGCGCUCCUUUGCCAGAAGUAUCAAAUGAUAAGAACUGAGCACACUGGAUGAAAUAAUACUUGCACUGGGAGCACUAAGAAAAGAUUGAUCUCUGGGCUGGUGAACAUAAUCUCUGUCCCAGUCAGAAAAGGAGAGAGGAAAUUAGCAGAGCGAUUGGUGGAGAAUGAUAUCUGUCAAAAGAAACACUUGGAGAGCACUGAGUUUAGUAAUAGGUGACUGCCGGAAAAAAGGGAACUUUGAAUAUUGUCAAGAUAAACCCCACUUGAAAAACUGAGGUGCUUAAGGAGUAAAAUAAUAUGUUCCUGGUGGCAUCCUCCAGAUCGUACUGAGAAGCACUCCACAAUGCCAGACUCACCUGUGGAUGUGAAGACGCAAUCUAGGCUGACUCCUCCAACAAUGCCACCUCCCCCAACUACUCAAGGAGCUCCAAGAACCAGUUCAUUUACACCGACAACGUUAACUAAUGGCACGAGCCAUUCUCCUACAGCCUUGAAUGGCGCCCCCUCACCACC
rnacentral:lncRNA from 10 species